rnacentral:misc_RNA from 1 species
GCUGGCCUGUUUCUCACAUUCAUCUUUUCAUAAAGACAUGCAAUGCCUCCUUAAUGGAACUUUCAAUUUUUUUUUUUUUUUCAAUGUAAUCAUUACUCCACCAAUGUAUAUGUGAUGCCUCCUUAAUGGAACCUUCUCUGUUUUCAUGGUUAAAAAUGUUAGUACUAUGAAUAUAAGAAAUGAACAGUCGAUUUAGAGAUGAUGCAGUGUACUUAUUUGUUGUUAGUGCAUCUUUAGAUCCUAUGGAUGGGUGUUGUUUGUCAUUUGAUAUUGAAAAUAUUUACAUGCUUGAAAAUAAAUAUUUGAAAGUUCAAUUGCAACUUUUUCAUAGAUUGAUUUGGCUACUGUUGACUUUGCCUCCACUGCAACAAUAGUGUGUGUGUGUUUUCCACCAUGAAAAUUGUAUUGAGAAAGACAUUGCUAGUUAAUUUGACGUUGAUUCAGUUAUAGAAUUGUGGAUUAUCAUACUUUUGUUUUCAAAGAAGUUGUGCUCUCAUGCGAAGUUGUGUUUUCUAUUUGUGGAUUGAAGUGAAUUAAAUUUCAAAGAAUUUUUGU